CCGAGUCAGAAGAGAGCUAAAAUGGCGGAGGUUGUGAGUCCCUGCUUUGACUCUGUUUGCAAACUCUUGUUUCAUUGUUUAAGCGAUUAAAUCUCUCGAGUAGACGCUGUCUCUUUAGAUGCGAGGGCAAAAUAGCACUUUAUGGACUUCCACAGAGGACAUCAUGUUUAAUACGGUUCCGGAAAAAUCCAGUCAGAAGUUGUUCACGGAGUUUUCACAAUAACUGCUUCUCAUGAACCGAAGCUGGAUUUGCACGACGUCUCCUCUUGAAAGUUGGAUUACUGUGCACUUCUGGAUCACAGGCUAUUCGCAGCUGGACACAUCCUUCUACACUGUAUGCAAACAUGCAACAUCAUUACACACAGUACAAGGAGUCAGACUGGCAUAUGAGGAGCAAAGGAACCCAGGCAGUAGCAUCGUUUCACAAUGUUUCCAUCACCAUCAUCAGUGGAUGCCUUUGCCGUCCGUAGCCUGAGAUUUCAGAUUUGCAGCAAAAAAAUUUGAUUUUCUCAUUUAUUGGAAUGCUGUGCAGGUUGUACCUUGCAGCCAUCCAUUACAAUGUCACCAAGCCGUAACAAAAGCAGGAGAGGGAAAGUACAAGGCUAUGUUCCCAAAACACACAAGUGACAUACCUUAUGUGGAUGAUGUGAUCAGGCUUGUGUUUGAUGAGGUAUUUGAAGAUAAGCUGAAGGAAACCCCGAUUCCAAUGGACCUGGCAUCACAGUUUGAGAGACCUUCAAAGGAGGACGUGAUUGCAUGCCAUCUUCAGUGCAG